AUUAGAAUUAAAAUAAAGAUUCCACGGAAUUACAAAGUUUAAAGAUAGUAAGAUAAUUUUGUAUUACCAUGGUUGAUUGAUUACCUUAUGCUGUCCGUUUACCUUUAUUUUUCAUUUCUAUUAUAAAUUUCUUUAUUUCUUGUCCUUUUCUUUCCUUUUUGUCUCGCCUCCCUCCCUCCCGCAUCCUCUCUCCCUCUUCUCUUAGCGAGCCGACGACUGCCGACGCAACAUCUCCGUCGUUCACCGGUCACCAACGCCUGUGAAACUACACAUCCAGAAUGCUCUUGCCGUCCUUUAUCCAAUCCCCAAGUUAGUUUCUAUAAAUUCGUAGGCGAUUUUCCUCAAUUUCUAAUUUAAGAAACGGUGACCCAGGGUUUUCCGUCCAACUUCCGGCCAAUAUCGCCGGAAUUGGACCUCGACCCAAGAGGUAGAAAUGAUCCUCUUCUCGUGGGCUGUUCUCCAAUGUGAGACAUGCUAACAGAAAAAGGUAUUUCCAAUAUUAUUGUGGAAUCUGAUAAAGGUUUCUUGAGGCAGUUGCUAGUCUGAAAAGCUUCUUCCAUCUUAACUGUUACUGGCUGUAAGACUUUUAUUGGGCUUACAUCUAUUUAGGAGUCCUAAUUGAUUAAGGAUAAAAGAAAGGAAUUAAUAUUUGAUUAUUCCGGAUUAAUUAUGGUGAAGUAUAUCAAUAAUUUUUGCGAAUAUCAAUCCUAUUACGUCAUGGAUUUUAGAGGUGCUAAAGAUCUGUAUUAGGGUUUUCUUUAUGGGCAAGAAGCCUAAUACUCUCACCUAUAAAUAUAAGGCUUAGGUCCCACUUUUAUACACAUUAUUCUAGCACAAAACACUACCCCAUAUAGGAGUGCAUAAGGCGUGUAGAGAGAGAUGAAGAUCUUUGCUUGUUUGUUGCUGAUCAUGGUUCAAUCUUGUUCAUGUCAAUGGCUUCUUAAGGUUAGUACUUUUAGAGUGCAUAUUAUAGAUCGACUUGCAUUGGGUACCUCGAAAAAAAUGAAUUAGGUAGCAGAAUGUGGUUCGACGACCCCUAUUGUUCAAUUUUUUAAGUACCAUCCAUGUAUGUAUAUAUUCUAUAAAACAUGGUAGAAUAAUUUUUUGAGUACUUUAUAGAUAAUUUCAUCAGUUUUUACUAAACCUAGAAGAAGUUGGAGAUAGAAACAUGCUAACCUUUAUGCUUGAUC